rnacentral:rRNA from 1 species
CGAAGCGGUGACGUGGAGCAAACCUCAGAAAGCCAAUCUCAGUUCGGAUUGUAGGCUGCAACUCGCCUACAUUGAAGUUGGAAUCGCUAGUAAUCGCGAAUCAGAAUGUCGCGGUGAAUACGUUCCCGGGUCUUGUACACACCGCCCGUCACACCACGAGAGUUUACAACACCCGAAGUCAGUGGCCUAACCUCAAGGAGGGAGCUGCCUAAGGUGGGGUAGAUGAUUGGGGUGAAGUCGUAACAAGGUAUC